CCUACGGGUGGCAGCAGUGGGGAAUCUUAGACAAUGGGCGCAAGCCUGAUCUAGCCAUGCCGCGUGAGUGAUGAAGGCCUUAGGGUCGUAAAGCUCUUUCACCAGGGAUGAUAAUGACAGUACCUGGAAAAGAAACCCCGGCUAACUCCGUGCCAGCAGCCGCGGUAAUACGGAGGGGGUUAGCGUUGUUCGGAAUUACUGGGCGUAAAGCGCGCGUAGGCGGAUUAGUCAGUCAGAGGUGAAAUCCCAGGGCUCAACCCUGGAACUGCCUUUGAUACUGCUAGUCUUGAGUUCGAGAGAGGUGAGUGGAAUUCCGAGUGUAGAGGUGAAAUUCGUAGAUAUUCGGAGGAACACCAGUGGCGAAGGCGGCUCACUGGCUCGAUACUGACGCUGAGGUGCGAAAGCGUGGGGAGCAAACAGGAUUAGAUACCCCAGUAGUC
rnacentral:rRNA from 1 species